rnacentral:lncRNA from 1 species
AAAAUCAUGCUUUCAUGGAAUGCAUCACAACACAUACAUUUCACAUCACGGAUGAACUUGUCACCAAUAACCCUCUACAUAUCCAAUGUGCCCGGCCCUCGACGGAGCUCCGCAGGACUUCCUCUUAAUCAUAACAUACAAUGCCAAGACGCGUGGACAUGGGCAGCCCUGGACUUUCAUUAAUCAUCAUACAUAUAAAAUGCCAGGACGCGUGGACAUGGGCAGCCUUGGACUUUCAUUAAUCAUCAUACAUAUUGAGGGCUAAUGGAUCAUCCAACAUUCAUCCACAUCAACAACAUAGAAUGCAAUGCAUCAUAUUCGUGAGAUUCUAAUGCAACAACCUAAAAUAUAUCAUGGUAUUCGU